rnacentral:rRNA from 1 species
AACGAACGCUGGCGGCAUGCCUAACACAUGCAAGUCGAACGAGCUCUUCGGAGCUAGUGGCGCACGGGUGCGUAACGCGUGGGAAUCUGCCCUUGGGUUCGGGAUAACAGUUGGAAACGACUGCUAAUACCGGAUGAUGUCUUCGGACCAAAGAUUUAUCGCCCAGGGAUGAGCCCGCGUCGGAUUAGCUAGUUGGUGGGGUAAAAGCCUACCAAGGCGACGAUCCGUAGCUGGUCUGAGAGGAUGAUCAGCCACACUGGGACUGAGACACGGCCCAGACUCCUACGGGAGGCAGCAGUGGGGAAUAUUGGACAAUGGGCGAAAGCCUGAUCCAGCAAUGCCGCGUGAGUGAUGAAGGCCUUAGGGUUGUAAAGCUCUUUACCCGGGAUGAUAAUGACAGUACCGGGAGAAUAAGCCCCGGCUAACUCCGUGCCAGCAGCCGCAGUAAG